rnacentral:rRNA from 1 species
CAGUCGCCGCGGUAAUACGGAGGGAGCUAGCGUUGUUCGGAAUCACUGGGCGUAAAGCGCACGUAGGCGGCUAUUCAAGUCAGGGGUGAAAGCCCGGGGCUCAACCCCGGAACUGCCUUUGAAACUAGAUAGCUUGAAUCUUGGAGAGGCGAGUGGAAUUCCGAGUGUAGAGGUGAAAUUCGUAGAUAUUCGGAAGAACACCAGUGGCGAAGGCGACUCGCUGGACAAGUAUUGACGCUGAGGUGCGAAAGCGUGGGGAGCAAACAGGAUUAGAUACCCCUGUAGUCCCUGUCUCUUAUAU